AGGUGGAAUACUUAACGCUUUCGGAAUGCCUAGGCACACUCCGGCGAAGAAGGACGCAGCAAACAGCGAAAUGCGACGGUGAGCGGUAAGCACGUGAAGAGCCGUCGAUAUCCGAAUGGGGGAACCCACACGGAGUCAUAUCCGUGUAUCACAUGUCGAAUACAUAGACAUGAUGAGGCGAGACGCAGGGAACUGAAACAUCUAAGUACCUGCAGGAAGAGAAAAUAAGAAUGAUUUUCUGAGUAGCGGCGAGCGAAAGGGAAAGAGCCCAAACCGAUUUGAGGAUCGGGGUAGUAGGAUCAUCGAUAAAUCAAACAGAGGAUCAUAGAGGAAUCACAUGGGAAGGUGAGCGAGAGAGGGUGAGAGCCCCGUACUCGAAAUGAGAGACUGGAGAGAGAUGACACCUGAGUAGGGCGGGACACGAGAAAUCCUGUCUGAAUCAGCCGGGACCAUCCGGCAAGGCUAAAUACGAGAGAGUGACCGAUAGUGAACCAGUACCGUGAGGGAAAGGUGAAAAGAACCCCGGGAGGGGAGUGAAAGAGAACCUGAAACCAUAUGCCUACAAGAAGUCAGAGCCCGUUAAAGGGUGAUGGCGUGCCUUUUGUAGAAUGAACCGGCGAGUUACUGUAUGGAGCGAGGUUAAGCAGGAUAUGCGGAGCCGAAGCGAAAGCGAGUCUUAAGAGGGCGCGAGUUGCAUGCAGUAGACCCGAAACCGGGUGAUCUAGCCAUGACCAGGUUGAAGUUGGGGUAAAACCCGAUGGAGGACCGAACCGACCCCCGUUGAAACGUUGGCGGAUGAGUUGUGGCUAGGGGUGAAAUUCCAAUCGAACCCGGAGAUAGCUGGUUCUCCCCGAAAUAGCUUUAGGGCUAGCGUCGAGAGAAGAGUUGCGUGAAGGUAGAGCACUGAAUAUGUGAUGGCCCCAUCUCGGGGUACUGAGCAUAAUCAAACUGCGAAUGUCACGCCAACAUGCUCGGCAGUCAGACAGCGGGUGAUAAGGUCCGUUGUCAAGAGGGAAACAGCCCAGACCAUCAGCUAAGGUCCCAAAAUGUAUGCUAAGUGGAAAAGGAUGUGGAGAUGUACAGACAACUAGGAGGUUGGCUCAGAAGCAGCCAUCCUUUAAAGAGUGCGUAACAGCUCACUAGUCGAAUGACUCUGCGCCGAUAAUUUACCGGGGCUAAGCAUACUACCGAAGCUAUGGAUCCCAAGGGAUGGUAGGGGAGCGUUCCAUGAACGGAGAAGUACGACCGAAAGGACGUGUGGAGAUCAUGGAAGAGAGAAUGCCGGUGUGAGUAGCGGAACGUGGGUGAGAAUCCCACGCACCGAAAACCCAAGGUUUCCAGAGGAAGGUUCGUCCGCUCUGGGUAAGUCGGGACCUAAGGCGAGGCCGAAAGGCGUAGUCGAUGGACAACAGGUAGAGAUUCCUGUACCCGUAUAUAUGUGAAGGAAUGACGGAGAGAGGAAGCUGCAGCCAGCGGCUGGAAGAGCUGGUGCAAGCGAGAUAUCGGGAUGGCAGGCAAAUCCACCAUCCGAAACGAGAAGGCGUGAAGCGUACGGAAAGCUACGGCGAGUACGGAAGGCAGUGGAGGAACUUCCAAGAAAAGUUUCUAACGUUAAGUAUAUAUGGCCCGUACCGAAAAUGGACACACAUGGGUGAGGAGAGAAUCCUAAGGUGAGCGAGAGAACUAUAGCUAAGGAACUCUGCAAAAUGACUCCGUAACUUAGGGAGAAGGAGUGCUCAUAGAGAUAUGAGCCGCAGUGAAACGGCCCAAGCGACUGUUUACCAAAAACACAGCUCUCUGCUAAGCCGCAAGGCGAAGUAUAGGGGGUGACGCCUGCCCGGUGCUGGAAGGUUAAGGGGAGGGGUUAACGCAAGUGAAGCCCUGAACUGAAGCCCCAGUAAACGGCGGCCGUAACAAUAACGGUCCUAAGGUAGCGAAAUUCCUUGUCAGGUAAGUUCUGACCCGCACGAAAGGCGUAACGAUUUGGGCGCUGUCUCAGCUGUAGACUCGGUGAAGUCUUAGUACCUGUGAAGAUGCAGGUUACCCGCGACUAGACGGAAAGACCCCAUGGAGCUUCACUGCAGGUUGAUAUUGGGAUUUGAUGCAGCAUGUACAGGAUAGGUAGGAGGCAAAGAGAUGGAUACGCCAGUAUUCAAGGAGCCGCUGUUGGGAUACUACCCCUGUUGUAUUGGAUUUCUAACCGGACGACGUAGAGCCGUUGACGGGACAGUGUCAGUCGGGCAGUUUGACUGGGGCGGUCGCCUCCCAAAGAGUAACGGAGGCGCCCAAAGAUACCCUCAGCUUGGAUGGAAACCAAGCGCAGAGUGCAAAGGCAAAAGGGUGUUUGACUGCGAGACCCACAAGUCGAGCAGGGACGAAAGUCGGGCUUAGUGAUCCGGCGGUGCUGAAUGGAAAUGCCGUCGCUCAACGGAUAAAAGUUACCCUGGGGAUAACAGGCUGAUCUCCCCCAAGAGUUCACAUCGACGGGGAGGUUUGGCACCUCGAUGUCGGCUCAUCGCAUCCUGGGGCUGUAGUCG
rnacentral:rRNA from 1 species